GGGACAUGGAGGGAGUGGAUCGUUAAGAUCACAGAGCGGAAUUUUCCAUGCGGAGUUAUCAAUUAAGGGGGCACACCGACCAAGAUUGUGCUGACUAUGAAGAACAUAUCACAGAAGGCUAGCCAAGUUGCCGAGGCUGGAGAGAAAGGCUGUAUGAUGACCAAUGAUGACGCUUCAUAGCAACCCAAGAAUGGGUCUUGGAUGGGGGCCAAAGAAGCUACUGUAUGGAAAUUUGGGGAGCCACUUCCUUCCUCUAUGUGACAUAUGAGAACGCUACCGAACAGUGGAUUCAACCCCAUGUGUUUAAUAGAGGGCUUUCAUCAUCCCAGCAAACUAGUCAGCCUUCAGGACAACAUCGACCACAACACCACAACCCUGCCAAGGCAACUUCUGCAAGAUGUGUCAGACAUUGACAUGGGUACUGCCAUCACGCGUGGGAACUGCACAUAGCACACACACCUAUAUGACUUAGCCAAUGUUGUCUAUCUCAUACACUGCAGGCAAGGAUGCCCUGAAGCACAGUAUAUUGGUGAGACCACGCAGACGCUAUGACAACAGAUGAAUGGGCACCUCGCAACAAUUGUCAGAUGGAAUGCUCCCUCCCAGUCGGGGAACACUUCAGGUCAGCCUCCGAUCUUUGGGUAAACAUCCUCUAAGACGGCCUUUGAGAUACAUAACAAUGCAGAACGUGAUGGCCAAAUUCCGUACCCACAAGGACAACCUCAACCAUGAUCUUGGGUUCAUGUCGCGCUACAUGUGACCUCACCAUACUGCUCUGUAUCUGUAAAACCUUCC